CACUUUGGGAUGGUUUUGAGAACGGCCAUGAGUGGUGGGUUGAACGGCCUGUGGUGGUGGCUGUGGACGGCUAGCGUCGUCGUGUGGGUCUGGUAGGCCUCAGAGGCAAGCUGUCAAAGGAGGUCGUCGAGAGCAAGUUGUGCCAGCAGGGAGCCAUAGUUGUUCCGGAGAUCAGGAGCUGUCAAAGGAGGCAGACUCCUGAGUUGCGGUGUCGAACGACUUGGCGCUGUCUCAUUGAACGGCCCGGGAUGGCGACAGUGAAUGGCCAGGGCGUUGCAGCGACGAAGCCUCACCAGCGGAAGGAGGUAGCGUGGUGGAGGGAUUGGAGUGAGCUCGGCCACGAGCGCAGCCGCCAUGGGAUGAACUGGAGGAAGUGCUGAACAACAAUGGAGGUGAGGAGGUGCUUGGCUGGCGGCGGAGCAAGGAGAGAUAGCGGCGGCGCGUGAGGACGUCGUUCGGGUGGCCGUGGUGGCGACAGAUGGUUUUGGGCGGUGCGAUCUAGGGUAAGGCAACGGCGACGACUCGAUCUGUGAUUGGAGUGCGGGGCGGUGGCCGGAUCCGAGGGAGAAGGUGGGGGCUGCGGCCGGAGCCGAGGGAGAAGGUGGGGGCUGCGGCCGGAGGCGAGGGAGAAGGUGGGGGCGGCGGCCGGAGCCGAGGGAGAACGUGUGGGGCAGCGGCCGGAGCCGAGGGAGAAGGUGGGGACAGGGCUGCGCACUGGAGGAGAGGGGAGGCCGCGACGGCGUGCUGGGGGAGGCACCGGCGGCGCGCUGGGGUAGGGAGAGGCCGCGACGGCGCGCUGGUGAAAGGGGCGGUCGCGGCGGCGCACUGGGGGAGCGGAUCAGGUCGGGGGACGGGGGUUCUGGGUCUU
rnacentral:lncRNA from 1 species